UACGUAGGGUGCAAGCGUUAAUCGGAAUUACUGGGCGUAAAGCGCACGCAGGCGGUCCGUUAAGUUUGGAGUGACAGUUGGUGGCUCAACCACCAAAGUGCUUUGAAAACUGGCAGACUUGAGGGCUUCAGAGGGACACGGAAUUCCGGGUGGAGUGGUGAAAUGCGUAGAGAUCCGGAGGAACACCAAAGGCGAAGGCAGGUUACUGGUACGCAACUGACGCUGAGGCACGGAAAAGCCGUGGGGAGCAAAACAGGG
rnacentral:rRNA from 1 species